rnacentral:rRNA from 1 species
UAAGGAAUAUUGGACAAUGCCCGCAAGGGUGAUCCAGCCAUGCCGCGUGCAGGAAGACGGCCCUAUGGGUUGUAAACUGCUUUUGCACCAGGGAAAACCCCUCCUCGUGAGGAGGGCUGAUAGUAUGGUGAGAAUAAGCAUCGGCUAACUUCGUGCCAGCAGCCGCGGUAAGACGAAGGAUGCAAGCGUUAUCCGGAUUCAUUGGGUUUAAAGGGAGCGUAGGUGGUCUUAUAAGUCAGUGGUGAAAGCCGUUAGCUUAACUAACGAAUUGCCAUUGAUACUGUAGGACUUGAGUACAGAUGCUGUGGGCGGAAUAUGACAUGUAGUGGUGAAAUACAUAGAGAUGUCAUAGAACACCGAUUGCGAAGGCAGCUCACAAAACUGUAACUGACACUGAGGC